rnacentral:rRNA from 1 species
UACGUAGGGUGCAAGCGUUGUCCGGAAUUAUUGGGCGUAAAGGGCGCGUAGGUGGCGCGACAAGUCAACGGUGAAAGCUCGGCGCUCAACGCCGAGUCGGCCGUCGAUACUGUUGGGCUUGAGCACUGUAGAGGCUAAUGGAAUUCCGGGUGUAGCGGUGGAAUGCGUAGAGAUCCGGAAGAACACCGGUGGCGAAGGCGGUUAGCUGGGCAGUUGCUGACACUGAGGCGCAACAGCGUGGGAG